GAGUUUGAUUAUGGCUCAGGACGAACGCUGGCGGCGUGCCUAAUACAUGCAAGUCGAGCGGAGUUGAAUAAGUGCUUGCACUAAUUCAACUUAGCGGCGAACGGGUGAGUAACACGUAAAGAACCUGCCUCAUAGACUGGGACAACUACUGGAAACGGUAGCUAAUACCGGAUAACAUAUUUUUCUGCAUGGGAAAAUAUUGAAAGUCGGUCAUGCUGACACUAUGAGAUGGCUUUGCGGUGCAUUAGCUAGUUGGUAGGGUAAAGGCCUACCAAGGCGACGAUGCAUAGCCGACCUGAGAGGGUGAUCGGCCACACUGGGACUGAGACACGGCCCAGACUCCUACGGGAGGCAGCAGUAGGGAAUCUUCCGCAAUGGACGAAAGUCUGACGGAGCAACGCCGCGUGAGUGAAGAAGGAUUUCGGUUCGUAAAACUCUGUUGUUAGGGAAGAAUGAUUGUAUAGUAACUAUAUACA
rnacentral:rRNA from 1 species